AUCAAUCAAAUGCCAAUAUAACAAACAAACUUCAGGAUGUGGCCAUGAUAAUCCAUAUACCGAUUGCUUGGAAUUGGUUUGCCACUUGGUUAACUGGCGUGGUGAAUUUACGCAUUCUACUUGUAGCUUGGGCAUUGCUGACACUAGUCUGGAGCUAAACAAGUUUGUGCCGGCAAGGAAGUUGGGGCUGAGAUACUGGAGAAGUCAUGGAGAACAUCAAUGCCAAAGCGGACACAUUAAUGAGUUCCAAGCUGCUUUAUGGCGAAUCCUGCAGCUGAUCUAGAAGCUCGCUGGAUAUUUCUUAAGCUUUUAAUGGCAGCCAGCCCUCGUCCACGCCCACGCCGGAAAAAGUCGUCAACGCAUACAUCGCUUGGGAUCACAUUUCAUUGCUAAAUGAUUCGCUAAAGAAUCGCAACUGGAACUGGAAUGAUGAGUGCUCUGUUCUAUUCCAUAUAUACAAUCUUUUAUAAUUGGAGCUUGGGCAGGUACUAGGACUACAACUUGCAUAGCUAAUGGAGAAACAAGCGCAACAACAACAAUGGCUGAAUGAGUAAUAAAUUCAUUGAAUCGUGCGCUUCGAUCAGGACUACACCAUCCUCUAGCGCAUAUAUCCAAUCCAACAAAAGGAUAUACGUCGCAUUCGCAACACAGCGUAGUCUAGAGCAGCCCUGGAGAGGCACCGCAGUCCUCUGAGAGAAGGAUUACUACAAGUUAUGUUUGACAGAAUGCUCUAAUCGCCCAUUGUUAUAUAUGCUUUAUGCUAUUUAUUCGUUGGGAGCUGCUACAUUUCGACUUAUUGGAGCAACUGCACCGAAUUCUGAAGAGCUGCGUGAGCUGUUAAUAGUCUCGCAUUUAUAAUAGGGAAGACGCCAGACUUGAUCAUCCGAUCUAGAGAGUUAACGAAGCGAGCUGGACUGAAGCCUACAGUACCAACAAAAAUAGCUGCUUAUCCUGCUUGAAACAGUUGCUUUAAGUAAACUAUCAAAAUGUGUGAAGCUGCGCACUGCCUCAUGCAGGACAACAUAACGCACGAUAUCCUGCGGCGCCAGUUCCAGCGUUGUCUUCACCACUAAAUGUGGCAACUGCGUCGCAUUCUGGAAAGCGGCAUGAACGCUUAACUGUCACAUGAACAAAAGGGAUGGCAUUCCACUCCAGAAGACUUCAUUAUCAACUAUCAGCGGAAAUAGCAACAGCAAUAGAUGCAUAUCCUGCUCAAAAGGGAUGUU